AAUCAAUCAUUCAAUUAUAAUCAUGUAGAUGGUGGCCAAGUAAUAAGAAUUUGAGAUCAAGAGGUUUGCUUCCUCUGUAGUCUCAGGUUCGAGGUCUUGGUUGCUUAUAUGAUGGCCACUGGAAGUUUACAUGGUUGUUAACUUCAG